rnacentral:rRNA from 1 species
UACAGAGGUCUCAAGCGUUGUUCGGAUUCAUUGGGCGUAAAGGGUGUGUCGGUGGCGCGCUAAGUCGGGUGUGAAAUUUCGGAGCUUAACUCCGAAACUGCAUUCGAUACUGGCGUGCUUGAGGACUGGAGAGGAGACUGGAAUUCAUGGUGUAGCAGUGAAAUGCGUAGAGAUCAUGAGGAAGACCAGUGGCGAAGGCGGGUCUCUGGACAGUUCCUGACACUGAGACACGAAGGCCAGGGGAGCAAACGGG